AAUGAACAGCUUCAUGAAAACAAGGUUUCAAGGUCCUAGUUUUCAAAGUGUCGACAAUAGUUGCGUUCCUGCGGACUGACAGACGGAAGGACGGGCAUUGGUCAAAACCAGUAUACUCUUGCAUUUUUGGUAUCAGAGUAUGAAGCUUUCUAUGCGUUGGCAGGGCGCGCAGGCGCAUCACAGACUAUGGGACAUGGGACGAGUGACGAGUGACGCGGGGAGCAUGCGGCGGAUGGCGGGGUAUGAUCGACGACGAACGACAAAAGACGAGCGGCGAGUGGCGAAGGCAAACACGAAGCUGAAGCUGAAGACGAAGAUGAAGAUGAUUCCCCAUUGGCGUCGCCCUUAAAUCAUUUUUGGAAAAGAAAAACAGGAAAAGCUGAUGACGAAAUGAGUUUGUUGAAGGAGAUACUUUUUGCUAAUCGGAAGCUGGAGAUCGCUGAGCGAUCAGCGGCUACACAAAAAGUGUGCAAAAUGCGGCACGUUGCACAUUGUUGGGGCGAGCACAAGGGUUACAAAUUUCAGAAUUUUAGCAACGAAUAAAACCCCAAAAAAAAGAAACCAACAAAAAACCAAAGUGUUUAACUUGAUUUCCAUUUGAAAGUGCCGUUGUUGCAGCAGCAGCAGCAGCAGCAGCAGCAGAGGCUGUCGCACGC
rnacentral:sRNA from 1 species